GACGGAGGAUGCAAGUGUUAUCCGGAAUCACUGGGCGUAAAGCGUCUGUAGGUGGUUCAAUAAGUCAACUGUUAAAUCUUGAGGCUCAACUUCAAAAAUCGCAGUCGAAACUAUUGGACUCGAGUAUAGUAGGGGUAAAGGGAAUUUCCAGUGGAGCGGUGAAAUGCGUAGAGAUUGGAAAGAACACCAAUGGCGAAAGCACUCUGCUGGGCCGACACUGACACUGAGAGACGAAAGCUAGGGGAGCGAAUGGG
rnacentral:rRNA from 1 species